GACGAACGCUGGCGGCGUGCUUAACACAUGCAAGUCGAACGGAAAGGCCCUGCUUUUGUGGGGUGCUCGAGUGGCGAACGGGUGAGUAACACGUGAGUAACCUGCCCUUGACUUUGGGAUAACUUCAGGAAACUGGGGCUAAUACCGGAUAGGAGCUCCUGCUGCAUGGUGGGGGUUGGAAAGUUUCGGCGGUUGGGGAUGGACUCGCGGCUUAUCAGCUUGUUGGUGGGGUAGUGGCUUACCAAGGCUUUGACGGGUAGCCGGCCUGAGAGGGUGACCGGGCACAUGAGGCCUGAGGGACGGCGCAGAAUGCUACGGGAGGCAGCAGGGGGGAGUAUUGCACAGUGGGCGGAAGCGUGAUGCAGAAGCGCCGCGUGCGGGAUGAUGGCUUUUGGGUUGUAAACAGCUUUCGCCUGUGACGAAGCGGGAGUGACGGUAAUGGGUAAAGAAGCACCGGCUAACUACGUG
rnacentral:rRNA from 1 species